GGCAGCCGAGCGAGGGCCUCGG
rnacentral:miRNA from 1 species